rnacentral:tRNA from 1 species
AGCGGGUAUAGUUUAGUGGUAAAAGUGAGAUUCGUCCUUCCAAGCUACCGAUGCGGGUUCGAUUCCCGCUACCCGCCU